GGAGGGUGUAGCUCAGUGGUAGAGCCCAUGCUUAGCAUGCAUGAGGUCCUGGGUUCAAUCCCCAGUACCUCCA
rnacentral:tRNA from 1 species